rnacentral:tRNA from 1 species
GCCUGGGUGGCUCAGUCGGUUGAGCGUCUGACUUCGGAUCGGGUCACGAUCUCACGGUUCGUGGGUUCGAGUCCCGCAUGGGCU